AUUAAAAUUCAAUGGGCAAAGUAUAGCUUAUAAAAGGUUUAAGGCCUGAUUACGAAGAAAACCAAUCUAGAGUAGAUUCAUCCACAGCUUAGAACCUAAUCCAGUUAAACCCUAACCCUAAAAUUAUGGGAUGCCACCACCAACAGGAUUGAUUGGAAGGUAUCGCUGGAGAUCAGAGGGAGAGUUUCUUCUGUCAAAACCUUGCUAACUCUUGGAUGACCUUCCAAGGACAAGAAAGAAACUCAUUAACCAAAGAAAUAACAUCUUCACCUGUAAAACCACUAAGCUCAGAACCAACCAUCAAUAGAGGAAGGAGGAAGGUAGAGGCCAUGGCAUUCUAGCUAUAGGAAAACUAGCAACAGAAUUUUCACAUGGCAACUCUAGAUCCUCGAUUUGCCUUCCUUGGAAUCCACUCACAAGUCGAAUGCUUGCUCUGCCCACCAACACUAAAUACAACCAGCAUCAAGGAGGACAGAACCAUGUCAUACAUGGAAUCUUCAACCAAUAGCUGUGCAACAAGAAAAACAAAAUCCUCUCUAGAUCACACAUCUUGCAAAUCAAAACAAAGUUCAAAACUAAUUACAGCCUCCCUAAUGAUGAGGAGAGAAGGCUUCUCCUACUUAAAGUGCAGAGGACGGCUCAACAUAGCUAAGAAAACUCGG
rnacentral:misc_RNA from 1 species